GACGAACGCUGGCGGCGUGCUUAACACAUGCAAGUCGAGCGGUAAGGCCCUUUCGGGGGUACACGAGCGGCGAACGGGUGAGUAACACGUGGGUGACCUGCCCUCAGCUCUGGGAUAAGCCUGGGAAACCGGGUCUAAUACCGGAUAUGACUCCAUGACGCAUGUUGUGGGGUGGAAAGCCUUGUGCGGCUGAGGAUGGGCCCGCGGCCCAUCAGCUUGUUGGUGGGGUGAUGGCCUACCAAGGCGACGACGGGUAGCCGGCCUGAGAGGGCGACCGGCCACACUGGGACUGAGACACGGCCCAGACUCCUACGGGAGGCAGCAGUGGGGGAAUCUUGCGCAAUGGGCGAAAGCCUGACGCAGCGACGCCGCGUGAGGGA
rnacentral:rRNA from 1 species